GUGUGUGAACAGCAAUAUGCUGUGGCAGUGGCAUGCAGUCUAAAUUCGUUCAUAUCAUAUUUACCCAGUUAUGCUCAUCACUACUUCCACAAAAAUCGAAAGCCUACCCAAAAAAGUGAUAACAAUGUUGCAGUCCAGUUACCUGAUGCAUUUCCUACGAUCGUUAAUUGCAAUCUUUAGAACAGCUAUCUGGAACAGUAAAACUUGCAGAAAACACAUUAACUCCAAAUCCAGUACCGAGACAUCUUGGAGUAUUAUGUUUCUUACUCCAAGCUAGAGCGAUCUCGCAUGUCAGUACGUUGUCAUUCUCAAAGUUAAUGGGAAACACAGGAAAAGAAAUAUUUCCCAUGCAGAGAACAAAUCUUCUGACAUGACAGAGAGAGAGAGAUUUGAUGAUGCAUGUGUCUUGCAAGCUGUGAUAGAUGACAUCAAUGUUGCUGGUGGCCAAAAUCAGAAUUAAAAGCAGGUGAAACGGGCCACUGAUAUAACACACUAGGACAGCCCACCUGGCACAGCAGUAGAGGACCACAAUAGGGUGUUUCUCUGACAGAACCACCUUUGACAAGAUGGCGGAGUUCCUGGAAUAUUUUCACGUGAGUCAGGACAGUUCUGAUAUCUAUGCUGGAGUGACAGGCAUUACUCUACAGGGCACUGAACAUGUUUGUUGGUGUUGCUCCAGGUCAACAUGGGUUAAUAAUAUCUGCAAUAGUAGUACACUGCAAGGUGAUCAAAUGUACAAGCAUGGCUUCUUUGUUUUACAGAAAUAUCAGGUCUACAGGUCUCAAUGCCAUCUGCCCAUGGUAUGUUAAGCAUUACUUUACUAUUCCACCAUUAAUUAGUAGUACAGUCAGUUCCACUUAAAUGCAUAUCAGAUAAAAGCAUAUUCCGGUUAAAUGCAUAUAGUCCAUUCAGUCCUGUUGUUAGUCAAUGGAAUUGCAUUGUAGUGUUUUCUGCAUUAAUGCAUAUUGGUUAAUUGUACUUUGUUUAAAUGCGUAGCUGUCUCAAAUCCCAAGUAGUUCACUGCCAUGUUAUUUACUCAUCAUAACAGCAUAGCCCAGUAUGGCUGCAAGAUGUAACAGAGGGGGGUUUUAUGUGUUCAGUGAUCAGGACAAUGUCUCUACUGCUCCGGUACACUUCCAUGAUGUUAUUCAAUCUCUGGAUGUACUGCACAGAUUCAUGGAACAAAAGGAAUGAGAGCCAUUUUCCACUUUCUAUGAACUGAAGGACAUUGUAUUUCAUCUGAAACAGCAAACAGCGGUUCAGACAUCAAUAACAAUUUUUUUCUCUAAACCAUGAGGGACUGUAUUGACUACAGUAAGUGUUUAAUACAGUAAAUUUUCAAUAAAGUUUCUGAAAUGUA